AAAAGUUUAAUUUCUCUGUUGGCACAGAAAGAGAGCUAGCCUGUCAGUGAAUGUGCACGAUGAAUCUCCAGGGAAGGGAAUGCAAUUAUGUUGAGAAAAGGCCUAACAUGGUACAAGUCAAGUCCCGCUGCCUGCACCCAAGCUGAAUGAUCAGUGCGUGCUAUCUGACUUGAGUAUGUGGAUUCCCUUCUGGUGGAGGUGAAAGUACAAGAAGAAAUGUUUUACAUGGGAUACCGCGAUGGGUCAAAGCUGUGAAUUAAGCAGUAUGAUCCAGUGAGACAAUGGGAAUUUUCUUUUGCUUUAGUAAAUACAUGGGUUUGUUUACUCAAUACCAUAUAAACUGCAUCCAAGCAAAACUUAAUUAGAUGCUCUGCCAGGAAAAUACUAUGAAAGGAGAGGAAUGGAUAACAGCUGGUUCUGUCAGCUGUUGCAGUUUUCAGACAUACAAAGGUAAGAGAAUCUUACCAAGAACCUGUAUCAGCCAUGUGAAAUCUGAAAAUAGAAAAGAAAGCAUCAGGGAUAAAAUGAAAAGGCAUAAACUAAUGAAAUGCUAGACUGCAAUAAAAGCUGCC